rnacentral:rRNA from 1 species
UACGUACCGUACGAACGUUAUUCGGAAUUACUGGGCUUAAAGGGUUUGUAGGCGGCCUUGUAAGUCAGGUGUGAAAGCCCUCGGCUCAACCGAGGAAUAGCGCUUGAUACUGCAUGGCUUGAGGGAGACAGGGGUAAGCGGAACUGAUGGUGGAGCGGUGAAAUGCGUUGAUAUCAUCAGGAACACCGGUGGCGAAAGCGGCUUACUGGGUCUCUUCUGACGCUGAGGAACGAAAGCUAGGGGAGCGAACGGG